GAGCGGUAACAGGUGUAGCAAUACAUGCUGACGAGCGGCGAACGGGUGAGUAAUGCUUCGGAAUCUACCCAAUGGUGGGGAAUAACCAGCCGAAAGGUUGGCUAAUACCGCAUACGCUCUACGGAGGAAAACGGGGGAUCGCAAGACCUCGUGCUAAUGGAUGAGCCUACGUCGGAUUAGCUAGUUGGUAGGGUAACGGCCUACCAAGGCGACGAUCCGUAGCUGGUCUGAGAGGACGAUCAGCCACACUGGGACUGAGACACGGUCCAGACUCCUACGGGAGGCAGCAGUGGGGAAUAUUGGGCAAUGGGCGCAAGCCUGACCCAGCCAUGCCGCGUGAGUGAUGAAGGCCUUCGGGUCGUAAAGCUCUGUGGGGAGGGACGAAUAAGUCCGGUGCUAAUACCGCCGGGCCUUGACGGUACCUCCUUAGCAAGCACCGGCUAACUCCGUG
rnacentral:rRNA from 1 species